rnacentral:rRNA from 1 species
GGCUCAGAUUGAACGCUGGCGGCAGGCCUAACACAUGCAAGUCGAGCGGCAGCGGGAAGAUAGCUUGCUAUCUUUGCCGGCGAGCGGCGGACGGGUGAGUAAUGCCUAGGGAUCUGCCCAGUCGAGGGGGAUAACAGUUGGAAACGACUGCUAAUACCGCAUACGCCCUACGGAANNGAGGGGACCUUCGGGCCUUCCGCGAUUGGAUGAACCUAGGUGGGAUUAGCUAGUUGGUGAGGUAAUGGCUCACCAAGGCGACGAUCCCUAGCUGUUCUGAGAGGAUGAUCAGCCACACUGGGACUGAGACACGGCCCAGACUCCUACGGGAGGCAGCAGUGGGGAAUAUUGCACAAUGGGGGAAACCCUGAUGCAGCCAUGCCGCGUGUGUGAAGAAGGCCUUCGGGUUGUAAAGCACUUUCAGUAGGGAGGAAAGGUAGCAGCUUAAUACGCUGUUGCUGUGACGUUACCUACAGAAGAAGGACCGGCUAACUCCGUGCCAGCAGCCGCGGUAAUAC